rnacentral:rRNA from 1 species
GAGAGCGCGGCGCGCAGAACACGGGUGGGGUUAGGGAGGUCGGCGGCGACGGUGUAAAGAGGAGGUGGGGGAGCAGAGAGAGGAGACCUUGAGGGAGGAGAAGGCGCGCGGGUAGUGGGUCGCGAGCGCGCGAGCGGAGGACCUGGUCGGCGGCAGCGCGGCGACCCGGAGCAGGUGGCGCCUAAAGGUACCCCUUCCUCGUUGCUGCCCCGAUCCGAGGUCCGCCGCGUGUGAAGUACCCCUCCGUUCCUUGGUCCUCCACUACCCCAGUCUAGACCGCCACCAUUCAGCCUCGAGCUCGGUUCCGGCACUGCCCCUUCCAGUUUUUUAUCCCUCUGGCCUACCUCCACGAACUCCGCCUCCUUCCGGGCAGCCGUUCGAACUCGACCUCUGCGUGUUAAUCGCCGUGGCCGGUAGCCUACCAUCCUCGUGCUCCGUCGCGAGGGCAGCGACCCACCACCUCGACGUGUCCUCCCCCUCCUCCGACCGCUGUCCCUUGGCCCGGCCCUCCUCCGUUCCAUAGACAACAGUACACAAAAAAAAAAAAAACGUAAAAAGAGGAUGGCACGUAGAUAAGUAACAGCCUCACCUAAGUAUCGUUGUUUAAAAACCUAUUUAUUACUCACGGUUCUAUACAUACAACUGUUUACCUACUCUCCACAAGUCUCUUUCUAAACUCGGUAUGUACGCGGUCCAAGACUCUUAGACACUUACAUUAACCUUAUAAAAGUUAACGUUUAGUAAGGGAUUAUAAUACCAAUAUUCAGAAAAAAAGCAGGACUACAAGAGUUAUAAAGAUCUAUUGGUACAAAACAACCUGAAUAACUAUUUCAUUUAAAAGACCAUGUUCAAACCGAGGUUCCUUUCAAUAACAUAAAUGAUUAUAAAAAAAUUAAAUUGUGGUACUGAUACGGAGCUAUAAUGUUAACAGCAUUACCACACCUAACGAUAUAUUUCAAGAUACAAACUUCCCUACACAACAGUCUUUAAGAGUAUGUGCUAAGAAAUCAUCCUUCCCUUAAAGUCAGGAAGUUUUCACUUCUACUAGUACGGAAAGACAACCUAAACCAAAAAACCAAAUUCGUUAGUAAGUCCAAUAACUUUGUGGGCACACGGAGAAAAGAACAGACUAUACUCCUUUUACCAAAUCUCAUUAAUGGCCGUCCUCCUAGCGACCCACCAUCGACUCACCCUCCCAAGUCUAAUCCCUAAUGCUCAUACUUCAUCUACACUAUCUAACAUUGAGAAGAGCGAACUAAUUAAGUAGAGUUCUCCAGGUGAAAUAUAUAUCUCCGGAUUGUUAAUUUUUUAAUUAGUAGGAAUGUACGUAUGUACGUACGCAGUGAGACCUCGGUUUUUGAUUAAUGCUCAUACGUCCAACGUCAGGGAACGAGAUGUAUAUUGAGCGGUUGAGAUGAUUAAGUACAUAGUCAUAUACGUAUAUACAUCAGGCAAGGGUCAUGUACACAAGCCUUCUGACCUGUAAACAUGAAUAAGUUUUAAAAGAAAAGUAUUUUCAAGGAACCUUCUCUAACGAUUCAAAUUGCUCGUUACAGGGAAAAUGUAGAUAAAUGUCUCACAAAAGAAAACCAAAGUGGUGUAAAAAUCCAAAAAUGUCCAACACAUAUCAUCUCCUCCGUAACUCCUACUUUGUACUUACAGGUAACAAGAACAGGCGAGGACUAGAGUCAUCUGGACACACUACACGAGAACUAGGAAAGAAGAAAAAAAACAAUUUACUUAGAGACUGGCUCCUCUCGUACAAGAAAAUAAGCCAACGUUAGCACUUUGAAAAAAACCCAAAAGAAUAACAUGUCAUGCUUGGAAGGUUUAAUAAACUAGGACCUUUAUUCAACGGUUAAAAGACACACGUUACUCGACCCUCGGCCCCAGUCGGGAGAGUGGUGGUCAGCUUGUAUGUUGAAGUCGGUGGUACAGCUCACUAUAUUUUCACAAGAGACAAAGUAUCUCGUUGCGGUGCUCUUACACGGAGGAGAAAGAGGACCACGUACAACGACGGGAGGAAAGGGGAGACUGAACUGAACGAAAUGUAACACACUUCAACAAAUGAAAGUUGAAAUGUUGCGAUAUAGUUCAAGCGUUGACAUGAACCGAUGUUGAUAUUGUACUACGUAAAGAGAAGGUCAAAUAACUUAUAUAAAAAUUCCUAACUUACAAGAUAGACCAUGACAGGAUAGUGAGUAAAUUGAUAGAAUUAAACAAGUGUUUUGAGGAAGACAUCGAUUCUAAAGAAACAUGUUGUGUAUGAUUAAUAACGAGAAUAAGAAUUUAGAAUAAAGUGAAAUAAGUCAACAUCCGACCCAAUUCUAACAAAAACACGGUCUUUGUCUGAUCCGUUACGAGAUUGGAACCGUCGUUUUUAGCAGAUUUAAAGUAUUUAUUCCAUCACCUUAUAGAAACUUAUACAAGUAAAUUUAUAGAACUCAAGUGGACAUACCCAACGAAGACGCGUGUGAAAGAAACUAUGCUUAAAGAUCCACUCUUUAAGAAAGUACCAUUACUACAUAAUAGCUAUAAAUGAUACAAAGAAUCCGGAUAUCCAAAGAAAAACACCCUACGUUAAUGCCAUGUUAUACUUAUACUAGGAACUCAACGUAUAAUAACGGAAACCUGUAUCUGUACACGGUACAUCAUAUUGUAAAUAUUUCUUACAGAACCUUUAACGUUCAUCUACUAAUGCCAAUGGGACAUUGGAAUCCUCAUUCUAUAUAUACUACUAUCUUAGAUCUCUAAGAACGAUUAGAUAUUGUUAUUCUAGGUUAGUGCACGUUAUACAAAAUAAGUAUUUUUGUCCCUUAGUUAGACCGACUUUCAUCAGUAGAAUACCGUACCGCACUUCUCCAACAAGUGUUUGGAGACAAUCCACGAGGUAGGAAACAGUGAGACUUAACUAAAGGAUUAUAGACCGAAGAGACUUGUCUACACACGUCUAGACUCUUUCUUCUCCUUAUUAGGUCUUGUUAAAUCACUUAUUCUUGUUCAACCGUAAAGAGAGAACACUUGCGUCAGUACGGACGGAUAACUAAAAUAAUAAACACGAUUACGUUUGUACUUAAGAGAUAUCAAGAACUGCGUCGUGGCGAUUAAUGAGUUAGACGUUAUGUACUAGUAAAGACCAUCUUCAAAUCACGUACUUAAUCGUAAGACAUUUCAACCAGAUUCGAGUACAGAGAUCCGGUCCUAUCUAAAGAGUUAUAGUAAAAACCCUAACAAACUUGUGACUCGUUGUAACGGUCCAGUUGGUAAAGAGUAAAGAAACAGUAUAGACAUUUUGUAACUGUGUGGUUCGAAUGCCCACCACAGAGUUAAAACAGUGGUCGGUGAAGGUGGCUGGGCAUUUGACAGACAGAGCUCCAGAGGGGUUGAUACAAACCCAAAUCUUUUUGUUUCUUGAUAAAACUUCAGUAAAAGCGUAGUCGAUGAAACAUCCAUAAUACACGCAACAGUCCCUAGAUUAUAGUACAUCAAGGUCCCUAAAGUCUUCCAGACCAGUCAGGUAACAAGAACGGUACACAAUGAAAAAGAGUAAUGACACUAGCAGUCACGAGAACUGUAACCAAUGAAAAAGAGUAAUGACACUAGCAGUCACGAGAACUGUAGCCAAUGAAAAAGAGUAAUGACACUAGUAAACACGAGAACUGUAGCCAACAAGAACGAAAUACCAACGGAAGGGUCACGUGAAAAUAAUCAACAUUGUAUAAUUACAAUUAUACGAACUAACUGGUAUAAUAUAUAAAGUGAAGUGGCCCCACCAACCACCUUCACCACCAAUUUUAUAAAACCAAUUUUGUUACAGAGAUUAAUUGUUCAAAUAUGUCAACUUAGAAGAACUAACCGAUAAAACAUCGAACGAGAAUCAACAUAUCAUAAUUAAGAAUUUUGACCUAGAGAAUUUUAAUCAAUUUAACUUACUCAACGAAGUGACAAAAGUUUAUUCAUCAAAGUAGGGAGUGACACAGGACUUGAAUAAGAAUGACGGAAAAUACUGAAUUUACAUUGAUAACCGUAUAUUAGAGUACCGAAUUUUAGAAUCAACUCUUACAUAAAUCUUCAAUAUUCUAGACCUCAAAGGUGAUAAAGUAGGUCGCCAUAAGGGUCAUUGACUUAUAAUUCUCGUGACUGCUAGUAUCCAACAUGUAAAUCAAUGGCCCUUUACGAAAAUAGAACGUCCGGUCAAAAUGUAAAUGAAAAAGUUAUUACUCUACUGAUACUUGUCUCAUAGUUCAAAAAACGGAACCGUAAUGACGGCGACAGAUGCCUACCAAUGAUUUUCUUCUUCCUAAGUUCGCCGUAUGGAAGUGAACUGUCUACGAAAUUGGCGUUCUUGACAACAAUAAAAGAAAAGGAAAGGAUGAGGGAGGCAGGCUUUUAUGAACAGUAGUUUUACCUACUUUUCCCUACAUAGAUCUUGAUUUUAUGCAGAUCUAUGUAGAGGAAAAUAGGUAAAACUACUGUUCAUAAAGGCCUGCCUCCCUCAUGUAACUAAAGGAUGUUACUACUAUCAAACGGAAACUAAGAUCUUCAGGGUUUCCCCUGACUUCCCAUCUCUAAAGGUAACAGCAACUUAACCACCCUAACAGUGGUUGAAUCACAACGUCUAACAAAGAUAAAAUCUCGUUCUUCGGUUUAGUACAACAAGUAACAUUUAGAACUUAUUGAACAAAUGACAGUGAAGAUAUAGAUAACAUUUGAAAGCAAGGACCACACCAUGAAUAGUUAGAACCACACGGGAAGGUAACGUCAAAGAAGUUUUUUUAUUUAGAGUAAAGUUCAAACGUGGAGAUAAUAUCAUCUUGUACAGUAUUUGUACCGUAACCCGUAAUAAACAGUUCAAGGGAAGUUUUUCCUCUCUAAAGAUAUCUCUCACCGAGGUAUUGAUUUCUCUACUGUUUGCAACACGUUCCAUAACAAACAAGACGAGUAAAGUUUUAAAUUCUUUAAUGUUACGUACACUUGAUAUCUCCAACACUUCCUGCUUUACGAUACCUAGGUCUCCUCACCCUCCCUUCUCAAAUGGUUCCUGUUCGCACUGAAACCUAAGGCUUCAAGGUCGAUUGUAUCGUUUUAACACAUCUAUCUUACGGACGUAAAACUUUUAAGAUGACAUAAUGUAUCAAACAC